rnacentral:rRNA from 1 species
GGGACGAACGCUGGCGGCGUGCUUAACACAUGCAAGUCGAGCGGAAAGGCCCUUCGGGGUACUCGAGCGGCGAACGGGUGAGUAACACGUGGGCAACCUGCCCUUAGCUCUGGGAUAGCUCCGGGAAACCGGAAUUAAUACCGGAUAUGACCUAGGCCGACAUCGGCCGUGGUGGAAAGUUUUUCGGCUAGGGAUGGACUCGCGGCCUAUCAGCUAGUUGGUGGGUAAUGGCCUACCAAGGCGACGACGGGUAG